rnacentral:lncRNA from 1 species
AAGACAAGCAACCCGACAGUGAAAUACAGGCACCGAACAGAAGACGGACUCCUGAUGGUACUUCAACUCAUCUUUUGACACAAACCCACAAAAACGCUCAGAGAUCUCUCAUAGCAUCACGUCCAAUUCAUAUAUGAUAACCUUCUAUUGUUCUUCUGUGCAUGCCUCUUCCGUGGCUGACCCUCUUCAAUGAACCUUUCCAGUGGUCUGCCACUCUCCUCCUUCCCGUGGGCCUCUACUGUUUUGAGUUGCUCCUCUAAGCCUGCUUAUUGCUGCCAUCGCGAAGUGAGAAAUAGUCGAUGAUCCACGCAGCGCAUCGUUGCUUCCAGGACAGUUAUGAACAUCUGGACCCGUGCAACAUCAAAAACCUUUUCCCGCUACGCCUACCGCAUGACAUGUGACAACCGGCUGACUGGUGGCUUGACAUGCUUGCGCUGGAGUGACAUUGUAUCCUUCUGGACAGACAACAAUUUGAUCGACUAUUUGCUCGCGAUAGCAGAGGCCCGUUGGCGGUGGCUCUGGCGGAUCUGAGAGCUUCUUUGCUUUGAUAUCUUUCAUCCUCUUCCCUUCUUUCUGUCCGGGGGAAGGUGGCACUGGCGGGACAGGAGACGCCACAGAGUGGUGAAGCGCUGCAUCGACAUCGAUUUUCCUUGAGGAAUUCAUCUUCUCAACUUCAUCUUUCAUCCGUUGCUUGGGAUCCGAAACUUUUCGCCGUUCGUUGAUCUCCAUAACAAGCAAAGCAAAGGGCAAUUUGCCAAGCUGACGAAACGCACUUCUAUCACUUCCCGCGUCUUCGGCCUUGUUUACGAAGAGGCCAUCCGCCCAAGGCCCGACGGAAACGCCUGUCCUAUCGAUCCUUCCUGGUGUCACUACAUUUUCAAGUUGCCGGGGCCGGGGAUGCCUAGCACGGUCCACUUCCUUCUCCCUUUCGUCCUUUGCUGUCUCUUCUCCCGGUUUCUUCACAUUUGGGUCCGUAGAGUUCGUGCCCUGCGCAUGUCGAGGAGCGCUUGACGCGUCCAACACGGCGGCUGAAGAGCUUCUCUCUGUCGAGGCGGAAGCCGAGCGGGAAGUAGGUUUCUUCUCCGUUCGCUCUUGCUUUGAAGAACCAUCUUUGACCUUUUCUGACUCUGAAUGAGACCCUGGCGUCUUUUUAGGUUCCCCGGGCUUCGGGAGUGCUGCUUGUAUUGGAUAGGCACAAAAACACGAGUUAAGAAAACAACAAACGACAUCCAUGGAGUAAUCGAUAACCAACAAGACUGGAAGAGAGUGAAACAAGCAUAUCAGACAAUGAGCUUUUCUGUAAUGCAAAUGCGCAGAAAUGUGAACCUCACAAUAAGCAAAACAGAGAGAAAACUAGACAACGACGGCACGCAUGUAUGUACGGCCGAGGAUAUUACUGCGGCUUAUCUUGUUGCAUAUUAGGGACAGGCGCAACUCUUGAGAUGGACACAGGGGAAGAGAGACGUUUCUGCAGCUCUCCAGCUCUGUUCUCAUGUAACCAAACUUGAAAAGAACUGAACCACCAAACUUUGAAUCUUACACUUCUUUAUCUUUGGCUCAGGUGCCUGUUCAACGACCACGUCGAGUGGGCAAAACCAUUUGGCGUGUCUUUUGGUCUGCACAUGAGGGGGAUACAGCGCAAGGGUAACUUUUGUAGCAGCAUCGCUUCACAAAUUACUGGUUUGUGAUGUUUCACUCCGGCACUCAACUUUUUGUCGUCUGUGUCUUCGAUCGGACAUACUGAACUGCGCAGGUAGGAGUUGGGGAUGCUAAAUGUUUGUUGAAGUGCUUAUGGGUUCUUUCUUUGGCUAUCGGAUGACAGGGAUAUAGAAGAUCAAUAUGGAGUUCGUGUAUCAAAGUCGAAUUUUCAGGAUCUUCGACGAAAAAUGUGCCCCCUCCACGAAUGCUGCUGGGCUAUUUGUCUGCUACUUGUCUCUCAUCCGCCCAACCGAUGGACGCCGUUGUCACCUACUUUCUUGACUUCAAACCAUAUUUUACGUACCUCGACGAGGCAUCUCGAGUCUACGACUUUCCCCGCACAAAGCGCCUCAGAAGGGAGGACCCGUACUCCCAUGCAGACCAGCACUGGUGAUUUGAUAGAAUCGUCCUUGAAUAUUUCCAGAGUAAAGUCAAAUGGACACCCCCGGUUUGGCUCCACCGUUAGUGUCUGAACAGUAGAACAGAAUGUACUGGGCAG